rnacentral:pre_miRNA from 1 species
CUUUUGUUCUGUGUUGAAACUGACAUCGAAUUGGGAGUGUGGAGGUCUGUAUCAUUUGGUGGUAACAAAUGAACUGAAAUGGUCUAGAGAGAAGUAACUGCAGCAGUAUCCUAACUCCAGCUAAAAAUCAAUUACCCUAGCCAAUGAUACAGACCUCCACACUCCCAAUUCGAUAUCAGUUUCAACAU